ensembl:lncRNA
AGACAAUCUGCGGUAGUGUUUUGUCUUUUUUUGAGUCACCAUCAUGACAUCAUCGCCAAACCCGCACACCUGAUUCUCCUCUCCCUCCCUCUGAUUGGUCCGGUCUCUCUCCUCAUGUUCUGCUCUUUGUCUGGCUCUUGACACUCUCUGCGUUUAUGGCAUACGGCAGUGAAAGAUCGUUUCCAUGGAGACAUGCUGGCUGGCAGAACACCUGAUUAACGGUGGAGGGAAAAUGGCCGUAAAGUGUGUCUGCUGCAACCAGAUUAGGGUUCGACAAACACGGGCUGUCUAACAGGACUAAUCGUUUCACCGCUGAGGGAUUUUCCACACGCUGACUCGAAACAAGGACGUGAUGAUGAUGAUGAUGAUGAUGAUGAUGAUGAUGAUUAUGAUUAUUAUUACUGUUAUUAUCUCUAUGCAUGAAAGGUUAGCUAAGAGCUUUCUAAACCAUUGUGAUCACAACCAGUCCGUUUUACUUUAACACACCUCCUUAAUGAGUCUGUUCUUUUUACGAGAGCUGGUGGCUUCCACUGCAUGGCCGGAUCCUUAAAUUAUAGCCGUAGCCCAACUGUGAAGGCACAACGUUACACCACAGCGCUCCUGAAUGCUCCGUUCUGAUUGGUCAGGUGUGAGGUGUUGAUUAGUUUUCCCAUAACAGCAGCUCUGACAGUAGUGCAGCUGCAAAUCACAGGCUCAUAUUAACGCGCUCUUCCGAAUACGUUAACGUUUCUAGAGUAACAGCUCACUCACGUGCCUACACGGAUUAAAAAACACGCAUAUGUGGUUGUUUUUUUUGUUUCACGUCUCCAGUGGAAGGAGUCUCCACGUCAGAGGUACAGAUGUAGUCAGUUUUCUGACAUCUUCAGGACACGUUGCGGUUUCUCGAUAGGAGGCCCUUCCUCUCGCUACAUGUAGGUCGCUGCUUCCUUUGUUCUUCUUCUCCGGGGCCUGGAGACUAUUUGACGUCGCCAUGCCAUUCUUUCAAGCCUCGCAUCGCCAUGGAAAUGCACAGGGCCAAACGGCGACGGUGCUGAAGAAGGACAGCGGAGAGCAAGAGAAAGGACUGGUCAAUGAAGUUAAUUGUUGAGAAGAAAAUGGACGCCAGCUCGCUUUUGUUCAGGCAAAAUGUGAGGGAAAGGACAGAUGAAAAAAGUGCAGUUGGUUCCUCCGGUCGGAGUGGCGAGGAAUGGAAAGUGAAAAGUAAAGAACUUAAGGGGAAGAACAGGAACUUUUAUUUUGGACAAGAAUUAAACCAUAAAAGUUUGAUCCUUUAAAGGUUUCUGUGUGUUGAGUGGGUUCAAUUGAAGUCAUUUACAGAAAUGUAUUAUAUUUUACAAUUUACAACUAAAGAGUGCAAUUACUUGAAACAAAUGCUCUGGUUAAAGUUCAUGUAUAUAUCCUCAUUA